rnacentral:rRNA from 1 species
GAUCNUKSCUCAGGAUGAACGCCGGCGGUGUGCCUAAUACAUGCAAGUCGUACGCACUGGCCCAACUGAUUGAUGGUGCUUGCACCUGAUUGACGAUGGAUCACCAGUGAGUGGCGGACGGGUGAGUAACACGUAGGUAACCUGCCCCGGAGCGGGGGAUAACAUUUGGAAACAGAUGCUAAUACCGCAUAACAACAAAAGCCACAUGGCUUUUGUUUGAAAGAUGGCUUUGGCUAUCACUCUGGGAUGGACCUGCGGUGCAUUAGCUAGUUGGUAAGGUAACGGCUUACCAAGGCGAUGAUGCAUAGCCGAGUUGAGAGACUGAUCGGCCACAAUGGAACUGAGACACGGUCCAUACUCCUACGGGAGGCAGCAGUAGGGAAUCUUCCACAAUGGGCGCAAGCCUGAUGGAGCAACACCGCGUGAGUGAAGAAGGGUUUCGGCUCGUAAAGCUCUGUUGUUGGAGAAGAACGUGCGUGAGAGUAACUGUUCACGCAGUGACGGUAUCCAACCAGAAAGUCACGGCUAACUACGUGCCAGCAGCCGCGGUAAUACGUAGGUGGCAAGCGUUAUCCGGAUUUAUUGGGCGUAAAGCGAGCGCAGGCGGUUGCUUAGGUCUGAUGUGAAAGCCUUCGGCUUAACCGAAGAAGUGCAUCGGAAACCGGGCGACUUGAGUGCAGAAGAGGACAGUGGAACUCCAUGUGUAGCGGUGGAAUGCGUAGAUAUAUGGAAGAACACCAGUGGCGAAGGCGGCUGUCUGGUCUGCAACUGACGCUGAGGCUCGAAAGCAUGGGUAGCGAACAGGAUUAGAUACCCUGGUAGUCCAUGCCGUAAACGAUGAGUGCUAGGUGUUGGAGGGUUUCCGCCYUUCAGUGCCGGAGCUAACGCAUUAAGCACUCCGCCUGGGGAGUACGACCGCAAGGUUGAAACUCAAAGGAAUUGACGGGGGCCCGCACAAGCGGUGGAGCAUGUGGUUUAAUUCGAAGCUACGCGAAGAACCUUACCAGGUCUUGACAUCUUGCGCUAACCUUAGAGAUAAGGCGUUCCCUUCGGGGACGCAAUGACAGGUGGUGCAUGGUCGUCGUCAGCUCGUGUCGUGAGAUGUUGGGUUAAGUCCCGCAACGAGCGCAACCCUUGUUACUAGUUGCCAGCAUUAAGUUGGGCACUCUAGUGAGACUGCCGGUGACAAACCGGAGGAAGGUGGGGACGACGUCAGAUCAUCAUGCCCCUUAUGACCUGGGCUACACACGUGCUACAAUGGACGGUACAACGAGUCGCAAGCUCGCGAGAGUAAGCUAAUCUCUUAAAGCCGUUCUCAGUUCGGACUGUAGGCUGCAACUCGCCUACACGAAGUCGGAAUCGCUAGUAAUCGCGGAUCAGCAUGCCGCGGUGAAUACGUUCCCGGGCCUUGUACACACCGCCCGUCACACCAUGGGAGUUUGUAACGCCCAAAGUCGGUGGCCUAACCUUUAUGGAGGGAKCCGCCUAAGGCGGGA